rnacentral:rRNA from 1 species
UACAUGCAAGUCGAGCGGACUUUUGGGAGCUUGCUCCCAAAAGUUAGCGGCGGACGGGUGAGUAACACGUGGGCAACCUGCCUAUGAGACUGGGAUAACUCCGGGAAACCGGGGCUAAUACCGGAUAAUUCUUUUCUGCUCAUGUAGAAAAGCUGAAAGAUGGUUUCGGCUAUCACUCAUAGAUGGGCCCGCGGCGCAUUAGCUAGUUGGUGAGGUAACGGCUCACCAAGGCGACGAUGCGUAGCCGACCUGAGAGGGUGAUCGGCCACACUGGGACUGAGACACGGCCCAGACUCCUACAGGAGGCAGCAGUAGGGAAUCUUCCGCAAUGGACGAAAGUCUGACGGAGCAACGCCGCGUGAGUGAUGAAGGUUUUCGGAUCGUAAAACUCUGUUGUUAGGGAAGAACAAGUAUCGGAGUAACUGCCGGUACCUUGACGGUACCUAACCAGAAAGCCACGGCUAACUACGUGCCAGCAGCCGCGGUAAUACGUAGGUGGCAAGCGUUGUCCGGAAUUAUUGGGCGUAAAGCGCGCGCAGGUGGUCUCUUAAGUCUGAUGUGAAAGCCCCCGGCUCAACCGGGGAGGGUCAUUGGAAACUGGGAGACUUGAGUGCAGGAGAGAAGAGUGGAAUUCCACGUGUAGCGGUGAAAUGCGUAGAGAUGUGGAGGAACACCAGUGGCGAAGGCGACUCUUUGGCCUGUAACUGACACUGAGGCGCGAAAGCGUGGGGAGCAAACAGGAUUAGAUACCCUGGUAGUCCACGCCGUAAACGAUGAGUGCUAAGUGUUAGAGGGUUUCCGCCCUUUAGUGCUGCAGCAAACG